rnacentral:rRNA from 1 species
UACGUAGGGGGCUAGCGUUGUCCGGAAUCAUUGGGCGUAAAGAGCGUGUAGGCGGCCCGGUAAGUCCGCUGUGAAAGUCCAGGGCUCAACCCUGGGAUGCCGGUGGAGUACUGUCGGGCUAGAGUCCGGAAGAGGCGAGUGGAAUUCCUGGUGUAGCGGUGGAAUGCGCAGAUAUCAGGAGGAACACCUAUAGCGAAGGCAGCUCGCUGGGACGGUACUGACGCUGAGGCGCGAAAGCGUGGGGAGCGAACAGG